UCAAGUAAUCCCCAGGUGUUCAAUGUAGGUGAGGCUUAAAUCACCCAUUAUUUAGAUUCAGAGGGUUUUCAGAAUCCAUGAGCUUUUGUGAAAAGGUGCUGCUGAUGAAGAGAAAAAUGUUGCUUUUGUAUUUCAACCAGGUAAGUUAAUCAAACUUUUGCGUAAGCAUCAUUUGCGUGAUGCGACUAGGUACAUGUUAUCCAACUCUUGUUUAUCUACCUCUUUUGUCAAAAGUGUAUUGCGAGAAAAUGUUUGCACGCGUACUCUGAACAUGAUGUUAUUUUCAGCUAGCUACAUUCUCUUCCAACUUCAACUUGUUUGUUGGCAGAAAAAUGCAAUAGAUGAGUUUCUGAUGUCAAAAAGCGUACCUCUGAGAUCUGGACUCCAAGAGUGAGUCUCUUUAGAUAAUGCCGUCGACCAUAUCUGUUUAAUUCUCGAAGUUGUAGUUGAAUUUUUAGGCUUGAUGAUAUUUAUCUAUCGCUACAUGCUGUAACAUAUUGAUUCUUUUUGGUUGGUUAGUUUCCAGACAUCAACAAGCUUCUAUUCAAACUGAUGUCCAGUUUGAUCU